rnacentral:lncRNA from 1 species
CCACAUUGCCACUGCAUCAGAGUGUUGUACAUGUUGCAUUUCUAUAGAUUGAAGGAGCACCUCUUAUCGAAAUUUAUUGCAAUUAAAUUGAAAUUAGUUGCAACUGUUCAAUGCAUUCCAAUUGCCAAUCUCUACGGCGACUCAUUUUUGUAAUCGUUCAAAAUCGGCAUAAAUUGACCAAAUGAUGUAUCUUCUGGUUUUAGACGCUUGGAUUCUUCGAGACAGUCAACCUGGCGCUUGGGGUCAACAGGGUCACUUACUGAUGAAAAAAGGGAUAUGCGGCAUAGGAGAGUUGAGUUAUGAAUUAAGAGGUCCGUAUGUAGUACCCCCUCCAAGAAAGAAAUUCAGACUUUUUCGCGCGAGAAGGGACAGGGUCCACAUAACAGGCCAAUUUGGCAACACAAAAAACCCCCCCACAUUUCCACACUUUGCCCUUCAUAUGGUAGUAAAAUAAUCGAUAUCAAUCGAUUCUUAGAAUCGAUAUUCAUGAUGGAGUUACAUGGAAAAAUAGCAGUGCUGCCAAGUCCCGAGAACAGCCACUUAGUUUGAAAAUUGGUUACGAAGUGGAAUGCUCAUUUCAUGCAUCAUCGCAAUGCUUUAAAUGGACGUAUUCCUGCUAAACGGAACUAUGUGCGUUAAGGCAUGAGCCCUAAGACCCAUAAUGCGUAACAGGGCUCACGUCAUAAUGCACAUGGUUCAGUUUGGCAAAAAUACGUCCAAAUGAUAUUCAUCGCAGAGAAAUUCUCGGUAAACAUGCGGAAAAGUGUUUCCACGUAUUAACGAGGAAACUAAAAAAAUACAUACUUUUCCCUGUUAGUGACGCUACAGACUUCCUGUAAUCUUGUCCUAAUUUAAUUUUAAAUGGAAAAAUACUUAGAGCAAUGUUUUUAAAAGCCUCCCUAAUGGGUUUGUGGCACGCAAGCAGAGACGCAACUACGUAAAUAAACUUUUUAUUGGUAAAAUUGCACGAAAAUUACGAUUUGAAAAUCAAAAAAGUAUAAUUCACUCCUCAGCGUGUGGGCUGUGUGAUUCGUAACAAAGCUUUUUCUCAAAAGUUUUUAGGUAGUUUUUCUUAAUAACCAGCAAUAACGUUUGCUCAGAAGUACGCGAAAACCCCAGCCCAAAUAAACAAACAAUCUCGCGAACUGUUACAAACCUUCCAUACGAUUUUUGUUAACUUUUUGAGCAUUUUUAACAAAAACAAAGGCUUAUAGAGACGAUUGAGAUCAUACGCGAUAAAGAGGUCCAAUAAAUCGUUUUUUCAAUAUAGGUCAGAGUUUUCUUAAGUCUCUUUCUGGGCAAACUUGAUCGCCGACGGUUAAGCAAAAUUCCUCGUGAGCACAGAAAAUUUAAACAGCGUGUUACAAACUACGUAAAUUGCGCGUAAAAAACGGUUUCAGACUUUUAUGAACUGCUCAUCGUAAUGUAACAAAAGGCUAAUCACUUGCUUGUAUCUCUUGCGUGCAACGAAUCCAUUGUUCUUUUCUGCGUAUGGGAUUUCCGUGAAAAUUUCAGGCAAUAAUGCUGAUUCGUCCUCCUUCGACAAGAUGAGAAGAGAGCUGAGAUUUUAGAACACGUCAUGCGAAUGAUAUAUUCGUUUUUGCAGUUUUACCGUCGUUCUUUCAAGGCUCCCAGCCGAUUUAAAAAAACAUUUUGGUUUGGUGAACCUCGGCCAUGCAAGGUAUGCCAAACCAAACUAAGACAUUUCGUUGACUCCUUUAGCGAAACAUCUAAUACUCUUGCACUUUUGUUUCCUUUUUGAAACCUAAUAAAAUAUACCGUCGUUUGUUGUAAAUAGCAUCAUUAGAGCUCAACGUAACUGUAAAUAUUUCUGAGUGAUAGCUUGUAAUUUUAAUUAUGUAAACAAAUAAAACUUUAUACUAAAU